AGGCAUUUAGUAGAUGCUCCAUUCCAGAGUGACUUAUGUGUUUACAAAAUGUUUUAAGUAACAAAGAGUUAAUGCCACACCAUUUGUGUCACAGUUUGUAGAAGCUGUUAAUACAUAGCUUACUUACAACUUACAACGAAAAGUUAAGAGGCAUAGUAGUUGCAAGGUGCUACAUAAAUAAAUCAGUGUUUCAUUUACUCAUCACUCAAAAAAAAACAACCUUUCUUCACGAUAACCAUGCUGACACAGGUCAAUUAUUGCGGUGUGCUGACUAUAGAUUUUCGUUUCUGUGGCUUGUCCCAUGAACAUUACAAUCAAUGUGUGGUUUCAUUUGUAGGCUAAAUUAAAAUAUGAAUUCUGUAAAAUGUUAUCUCUGGUUCUGUGUUUGGGAAACAAGUUGACUCUUCCCCACUGCCUUUCUUGGAACAUGCGUCUGAGUACAGAACCUGUUGUGGAAACUUCUGAACAGUCAUGGGUCAAAUGCAUAUGAAAAAUAUUUCAGCUCUUUAGAUAAUGCUAAAAUUUGAAAACACUCCCUCAUACUACUGAGAAUGCUCAACAAAGCAUGUAAGUACCUAGAUCUCGUGGCACACUUCUCGAUGAUUGUUUCGACAGCUUGAUUUGACAGUUUUAUUACAACGUUGUCUAUCUCAUGCUGUAGUGUUGUUUGUUUACUUUGCUAAAAGGCACAUUUUGUCGGUAAUUUUGGAUAAAAUCCAAAUACCUAGACUGUGAAUUGCAAACCGAAACUUUCAGUCAUUAUGGAUGAAUUUGAUUUAUUCUGAAUAUUGAUGAAGAUACGUGACUAUUGGUGUCUCAGUGGUUCAAGUAUUUCAAAUAAAGUGACUGACCAAGCGCCCUGUCCAAACGCACUGAAGUAGUGCCCUUUCUACCUUCUUUCCUUCCUUCCUCCCUCCCUUCUUCAUUUCACUCCUCUUAAAUAACUAUUGAUUGACAAGGUGAGGGUUCUGCCAUAUCACUUUCACCUGUUUUUGCUCUGUAGAUCAGGUGAAAGGGCAAAGGAAGGACGUGACUUUAGAGCUUUUUCGAAGUUGACCUGGUCUAAUUCUGACACCGCCUCUCAUUGAUUAUACAAACAUGUCGGGCAUGGAAAAGAACUGAAGAAAGAGCACAUUGCAUAGCUAGCAGUUUGAUCCCUGCGUUUCGUCGUGGCAUGACUGACUGACACAGACCUCCUCUUACCCUUUAGCAUGGAGUUUACAGACCAGUUACUCAGUUGCCUGCGCCUUCUUCACUGAAGCCGAAGCAAACCCAUUUGUUUACAACUAUGAAAGGCUACGAAUUGGAG